GGGCGGCGAGUCUCUGCCGGAUGGAUCCGGACGGCUCCCGUCCGUUCACCGGUGGCCGGUUCGACGCCGACGCCGAUCUC
rnacentral:tRNA from 1 species